GAUGAACGCUGGCGGCGUGCCUAACACAUGCAAGUCGAGCGAACAGACGAGGAGCUUGCUCCUCUGACGUUAGCGGCGGACGGGUGAGUAACACGUGGAUAACCUACCUAUAAGACUGGGAUAACUUCGGGAAACCGGAGCUAAUACCGGAUAAUAUAUUGAACCGCAUGGUUCAAUAGUGAAAGACGGUUUUGCUGUCACUUAUAGAUGGAUCCGCGCCGCAUUAGCUAGUUGGUAAGGUAACGGCUUACCAAGGCAACGAUGCGUAGCCGACCUGAGAGGGUGAUCGGCCACACUGAAACUGAGACACGGUCCAGACUCCUACGGGAGGCAGCAGUAGGGAAUCUUCCGCAAUGGGCGAAAGCCUGACGGAGCAACGCCGCGUGAGUGAUGAAGGUCUUCGGAUCGUAAAACUCUGUUAUUAGGGAAGAACAAAUGUGUAAGUAACUAUGCACGUCUUGACGGUACCUAAUCAGAAAGCCACGGCUAACUACGUG
rnacentral:rRNA from 1 species